GCCUGAAUAGUUUAAUGGUUAGAACGGAGGUCUCAUAACAGAUCAAGCUGAGCUUGAGUCAUCCUCAGAUCUGAGUUCGAUUCUCAGUUCGGGCA